rnacentral:snoRNA from 1 species
UUAAAAUGAUGAUUAAAAAUGUCUGAUCUGAAAUAACAUGUGGAUUAAUCAUACUGAUAAG